UUGUUACCAUUUUUUUGCUGUAAUUUCGUUGCCCAUUUGUUGUUAGCCCUUUUUGUCGUUUUGUUUGCUUGUUGUUUGUUUGCGACAUUGCAGGUACAUGGCGCUGAUGUGGCCGUGUGUGUGAGAAGGCCAGCGCAUGCGAGGAGAGGGCCAAAGGCUGCGGCGCUAGAAAUUGUUUGCUGCUAGGGUUUCCGCAAUCUCUUUAGUGUUCGGCCGUCGGGCUAGGGUUGGC
rnacentral:lncRNA from 1 species